CAGCUAUACAAUAUACAAGACCCUGGAAAAAGACAGGUAAUCCAGUACAGUAUUAUGUAUAAAACAUAAUAAACUUUACAACUAAAAUACUUGGGUGCCUGUUAGACACUCUUUUGCUCAUGAGGCCUCUCAAUGGGUUGCGUGCUCCUUAUCACACCCAUCAGAUCAAAAGCUUUCAACAGUUCCUGUCAGACUGUCAUUCACUAACAAUCACUUACUAAGCUGCACUAGACGCAGAGACAGACGAUGAAAAGACUCCACCGUCUCUGAAAGGUUUCUGCCAUCCUUUCAAGGCACAUUCCGACUUCACCUACUUCUCAAGGCCUGCUUCCCAUGGUUUUCAUCUUACAUUUCCAUUUUAUGCUCACAACAUCUCAUGAUUCCAUCACCUAGGUCUGAGGAGUCGCUACAUACAAACCUUAAUGCUCAACAAAUGCAUUCUCUUUUCCAGGUUUAGAGCUUUCCAGUGUAGAGUCGGUCUGAAAUGAAGUCCCUGAGUUAUAUGGGCGCCUCGAAGAUUACUAACUAUAAGAAACAACGGAUGGAGUCCCCGUUGUGACGCAGUGGUUAACGAAUCCGACCAGGAACCAUGAGGUUGCGGGUUCGGUCCCUGCCCUUGCUCAGUGGGUUGACGAUCUGGCGUUGCCCUGAGCUGUGGUGUAGGUCGCAGAUGUGGCUCGGAUCCCACGUUGCUGUGGCUCUGGCGUAGGCCGGAGGCUGCAGCUCCAAUUUGACCCCUAGCCUUGGAACCUCCAUAUGCUGCGGGAGUGGCCCAAGAAAUAGCAAAAAGACAAAAAAAAUAAAAACAAUGGAGACUCACACCUCGUUAUUUAGAAGUAAAGCCAAACUAAAACACCAAACAGGUUUCUUUGUGUUUUUCAUCGGGGGAGUGGGGGAGCCCCCGCAUGCAGAAGUUCCAGGGCCAAGGAUCAAACAGGAGCCAGAGCAGUGACAACACCAAAUCCUUAACCACUAGGCCACUAGGGAACUCCAGAACAGACCUCUCCACCACCACCAUUUUACACUGUUCGUUCAUUCCACCAACCAUAUCUGCCUCGAUCAUCUGAAUUUCUGCUGUUCCUUAGUUAAUCUAUCACUUGUCCUUAUUUGAGUAGCUAUACCCUAUGGACGGGGUCCGGCAGGGGUCCCAGACCUCCCAUAACCGUAUAUAAAAUUAUGAAUACGCACAUGCACAUUUUUCUGGGCGGAAGAGUCCUAUCUUUUGUUACAUCAGGAAUCUCCAAAGAACAGGAACCGCUGGAUGACAUCAAAUACGUACGACACAUACAGAAAAAGUUUAUGGUGGUUCAAAGAGACUCAAGGACAAUGCAUUCACUUAUACGUAAGAGAAGAAGGAUGGCUCCUGAGGGAAGAGAGCAACAUUUAAGGCACUAUUAUGCUCGGUAUCGUUCCUCAGAGACCCAACUAAGAGAGAGGACCAUUUGAAUGAGUGCAGACAAUCCUCACAGAGAACGCGUGCUGUGAAAUACGAAAUAUGCUUCUCCAACCCUCUUCCCUUUUUCAUCUUCCAUUAUAAAGCUGAGCAUACACCUCACCAUGCAUAAUUUGGGGGGGGGAUCACAACAGGAUCAAAUCAACUUUUAGAGCAAAACUGCCUCUACUUGAAGCAAAAUGUCAGCUAAAUGUU
rnacentral:lncRNA from 1 species